rnacentral:rRNA from 1 species
UGCCAGCAGCCGCGGUAAUACGUAGGUGGCGAGCGUUGUCCGGAUUUACUGGGCGUAAAGGGUGCGUAGGCGGAUUCUUAAGUGGGAUGUGAAAUACCCGGGCUUAACUUGGGUGCUGCAUUCCAAACUGGGAAUCUAGAGUGCAGGAGAGGAAAGUGGAAUUCCUAGUGUAGCGGUGAAAUGCGUAGAGAUUAGGAAGAACACCAGUGGCGAAGGCGACUUUCUGGACUGUAACUGACGCUGAGGCACGAAAGCGUGGGUAGCAAACAGGAUUAGAUA